rnacentral:lncRNA from 10 species
CAUGAGCCAUGCUGGGAUUGCAGGCUUGGGCCACGCUGGGACUGGAGACGUGGACCAUGCUGGGAUUGCAGGCGUGAGCCACGCUGGGACUGCAGGCUUGGGCCACUGCACCUACUGCAUUUGUUUUGCAUGUUACGCCCCUGCCUGGGGCAGCAUCUGGGCCACAGCACCUUUUCAGUGAACAACGAUGGUUAUGAGUGGGUGUGAUCUUGCCUGCCUGUUGAGCACCACUGGCCAGUCACUGUCUCGCAGAGGAAGCGGUGGGAGCUUGACAAGAAGAACGCCUGUGGCAGAGCCAGGGCCUGGACUCAAAACUCGGCAACUUGGCUGCCAUCCUCAUUCCCGGUGAGUGGAACGGUGAGCAAAGGUCCAUGAUGACACCCUGGCCGCCCAGCCUGUUACCCUCCUCAGGAGGAUGUGUGGCAGGAGUGAAGGGUCCACCCCUGCGGUCUUCACACUCCAGUGGCCCAGACUGGAGGACAGUCUUCCCAAAUCCCGUAUUAUGGGAGCAGCUGCUUCUUUCUCUUGGUGAUACAUUAACAUGAGAUUUCAACACAUGGAAGGAUCUUGAAGACGAUGCGUGCUGUGCAAAGCUUGUAUUCCCAUCUCUCUCUUUAAGCGAACAAGCUUUCUGAGCUUCUAUAUCCAUGAAGAUGAAAAACAGGAAAAAAAACUGACAACCUGUCUCAUUUCCGCCCUAAGUAAUAUCUUCCCAUGAUGACAUUAACUAUUUGCAAAUAAG